ensembl:lncRNA
AGGGAGAGAGAGAAAGAGGGAGAGGGAGGGAGAGGGAGAGGGAGGGAGAGAGAUGUGGAAGAGAGGGAUGAGGGAGGGAGAGAGGGUUGGGAAAGAAAGAAAGACGGACGGUCAGAUGCAAGGAGAGAAAGCAGCCUCUUCUCCGUGACGGAGAAAUAGAGCCGUCGUCAGGGGGUGUCUGAAAAUUUCAAGCUUGGUUAAGCUGUAAAGCUGUGUGGAAAACAAUCCUCCCUGCUUCUCCUCUGUUUAAUGAGCUGUUCCUGUCACAUUAAAGAGAACGGAUUGUGUGUCCCUUUCUCUAGAACAGAGGGAAGAAAAGAAAAGGAACGAGGUGGUGAGGGGUCGAACAAACCUCAAGAAUGUGACGGCGUACACUCGUGACACCGGCGGGGGCUAGACUCAGUCACACACAAUGAUUAAACCAAUCACCUGUCAGCGGAAGCAUCACUUCACGUUAAAGGUCAAGGUAAGGGGUUCAGUAUUUAGCAGACGCUUUUAUCCAAAGAGUCAAGAUAAGGGUUCAGUAUUUAGCAGACGCUUUUAUCUAAAGAGACA